rnacentral:rRNA from 1 species
UACGUAGGUGACAAGCGUUGUCCGGAAUUAUUGGGCGUAAAGAGCUCGUAGGCGGUUUGUCGCGUCUGCUGUGAAAACUCAGGGCUUAACUCUGAGCUUGCAGUGGGUACGGGCAGACUAGAGUGCGGUAGGGGAGACUGGAAUUCCUGGUGUAGCGGUGAAAUGCGCAGAUAUCAGGAGGAACACCGGUGGCGAAGGCGGGUCUCUGGGCCGUAACUGACGCU